rnacentral:rRNA from 1 species
AUUGAACGCUGGCGGCAUGCCUAACACAUGCAAGUCGAACGGCAGCGCGGACUUCGGUCUGGCGGCGAGUGGCGGACGGGUGAGGAAUGCAUCGGAAUCUGCCCCGACGUGGGGGAGUAACGUAGGGAAACUUACGCUAAUACCGCAUACGUCCUAACGGGGAAAGCAGGGAGUCGAAAGACCUUGCGCGGCGGGAUGAGCCGAUGCCGGAUUAGCUAGUUGGCGGGGUAAAGGCCCACCAACGGCGACGAUCCGUAGCUGGUCUGAGAGGAUGAUCAGCCACACUGGGACUGAGACACGGCCCAGACUCCUACGGGAGGCAGCAGUGGGGAAUAUUGGACAAU